rnacentral:rRNA from 1 species
AUUAAACGCUGGCGGCAUGCCUUACACAUGCAAGUCGAACGGCAGCACGGGGGCAACCCUGGUGGCGAGUGGCGGACGGGUGAGUAACACAUCGGAACGUGCCCUGGAGUGGGGGAUAACGCAGCGAAAGCUACGCUAAUACCGCAUAUUCUGUGAGCAGGAAAGCAGGGGGAUCGCAAGACCUUGCGCUUUGGGAGCGGCCGAUGUCGGAUUAGCUAGUUGGUGGGGUAAAGGCUUACCAAGGCGACGAUCCGUAGCGGGUCUGAGAGGAUGAUCCGCCGCACUGGGACUGAGACACGGCCCAGACUCCUACGGGAGGCAGCAGUGGGGAAUUUUGGACAAUGGGCGGAAGCCUGAUCCAGCAAUGCCGCGUGUGUGAAGAAGGCCUGCGGGUUGUAAAGCACUUUCAGUAGGGAAGAUUAUGACGGUACCUACAGAAGAAGCACCGGCUAACUCCGUGCCAGCAGCCGCGGUAAAGUGACU